rnacentral:tRNA from 1 species
GGAGGGGUGGCCGAGCGGACGAAGGCACCGGUCUUGAAAACCGGCGACCCGUGAGGGUCCGUGGGUUCGAAUCCCACCCCCUCCG